UACGUAGGGUGCGAGCGUUAAUCGGAAUUACUGGGCGUAAAGCGUGCGCAGGCGGUUUUGUAAGUCAGAUGUGAAAUCCCCGGGCUUAACCUGGGAACUGCGUUUGAAACUACAAGGCUAGAGUGUGGCAGAGGGGGGUGGAAUUCCACGUGUAGCAGUGAAAUGCGUAGAGAUGUGGAGGAACACCGAUGGCGAAGGCAGCCCCCUGGGUUAACACUGACGCUCAGGCACGAAAGCCAGGGGAGCGAACGGG
rnacentral:rRNA from 1 species